rnacentral:rRNA from 1 species
UAGGGAAUCUUCCGCAAUGGACGCAAGUCUGACGGAGCAACGCCGCGUGAGUGAAGAAGGAUUUCGGUUCGUAAAACUCUGUUGUUAGAGAAGAACAGCGCAUAGAGUAACUGUUAUGCGUGUGACGGUAUCUAACCAGAAAGCCACGGCUAACUACGUGCCAGCAGCCGCGGUAAUACGUAGGUGGCAAGCGUUGUCCGGAUUUAUUGGGCGUAAAGCGAGCGCAGGCGGUCAAUUAAGUCUGAUGUGAAAGCCCCCGGCUCAACCGGGGAGGGUCAUUGGAAACUGGUUGAAUUGAGUGCAGAAGAGGAGGGUGGAAUUCAAUGUGUAGCGGUGAAAUGCGUAGAUAUAUGGAGGAAAACCAGUGGCGAAGGCGACUCUCUGGUCUGUAACUGACGCUGAGGCUCGAAAGCGUGGGUAGCAAACAGG